rnacentral:rRNA from 1 species
UACGUAGGGGGCAAGCGUUGUCCGGAUUCAUUGGGCGUAAAGAGCGUGUAGGCGGCCAGAUAGGUCAGCUGUGAAAACUCGAGGCUCAACCUCGAGACGUCGGUUGAAACCAUCUGGCUAGAGUCCGGAAGAGGAGUGUGGAAUUCCCGGUGUAGCGGUGAAAUGCGCAGAUAUCGGGAAGAACACCCGUGGCGAAGGCGGCACUCUGGGACGGUACUGACGCUGAGGAGCGAAAGCGUGGGGAGCGAACAGG